rnacentral:rRNA from 1 species
GCUCAUAACAUGUCAAUUACUCGAGCGAUAGGUAUAAGAGCUUGCUCUUAUGAAGUUAGUCGGCGGACGGGUGAGUCAACACGUGGGUAACCUACCCAUAAGACUGGGAUAACUCCGGGAAACCGGGGCUAAUACCGGAUAAUAUUUUGAACUGCAUAGUUCGAAAUUGAAAGGCGGCUUCGGCUGUCACUUAUGGAUGGACCCGCGUCGCAUUAGCUAGUUGGUGAGGUAACGGCUCACCAAGGCGACGAUGCGUAGCCGACCUGAGAGGGUGAUCGGCCACACUGGGACUGAGACACGGCCCAGACUCCUACGGGAGGCAGCAGUAGGGAAUCUUCCGCAAUGGACGAAAGUCUGACGGAGCAACGCCGCGUGAGUGAUGAAGGCUUUCGGGUCGUAAAACUCUGUUGUUAGGGAAGAACAAGUGCUAGUUGAAUAAGCUGGCACCUUGACGGUACCUAACCAGAAAGCCACGGCUAACUACGUGCCAGCAGCCGCGGUAAUACGUAGGUGGCAAGCGUUAUCCGGAAUUAUUGGGCGUAAAGCGCGCGCAGGCGGCUAUUUAAGUCUGGUGUUUAAACCUUGGGCUCAACCUGAGGUCGCACUGGAAACUGGGGUGGCUUGAGUACAGAAGAGGAAAGUGGAAUUCCACGUGUAGCGGUGAAAUGCGUAGAUAUGUGGAGGAACACCAGUGGCGAAGGCGACUUUUCUGGGGCUGUAACCUGACGCUG